UACGAAGGGGGCUAGCGUUGCUCGGAAUCACUGGGCGUAAAGCGCACGUAGGCGGACUCUUAAGUCGGUGGUGAAAUCCUGGAGCUCAACUCCAGAACUGCCUUCGAUACUGAGAGUCUCGAGUCCGGGAGAGGUGAGUAGAACUGCGAGUGUAGAGGUGAAAUUCGUAGAUAUUCGCAAGAACACCAGUGGCGAAGGGCGGCUCACUGGCCCCGGUACUG
rnacentral:rRNA from 1 species